GUGAGCAUAGCUCAAUUGGUUAGAGCACCGGACUGUGGCUCCGGAGGUUGCGGGUUCAAUUCCCGUUGCUCACCCCA
rnacentral:tRNA from 1 species